rnacentral:rRNA from 1 species
AUUGAACGCUGGCGGAAUGCUUUACACAUGCAAGUCGAACGGCAGCACGGGGGCAACCCUGGUGGCGAGUGGCGAACGGGUGAGUAAUACAUCGGAACGUGCCCAGUCGUGGGGGAUAACGUAGCGAAAGUUACGCUAAUACCGCAUACGAUCUGAGGAUGAAAGCGGGGGACCUUCGGGCCUCGCGCGAUCGGAGCGGCCGAUGUCAGAUUAGGUAGUUGGUGGGGUAAAGGCCUACCAAGCCGACGAUCUGUAGCUGGUCUGAGAGGACGACCAGCCACACUGGGACUGAGACACGGCCCAGACUCCUACGGGAGGCAGCAGUGGGGAAUUUUGGACAAUGGGCGCAAGCCUGAUCCAGCCAUUCCGCGUGCAGGACGAAGGCCUUCGGGUUGUAAACUGCUUUUGUAUGGAACGAAAAGGCUCUGGCUAAUACCUGGGGCUCAUGACGGUACCGUAAGAAUAAGCACCGGCUAACUACGUG